CCUACGGGAGGCAGCAGUGAGGAAUUUUCCGCAAUGGGCGAAAGCCUGACGGAGCAAUACCGCGUGAGGGAUGAAGGAUUUUGGUCUGUAAACCUCUUUUCUCAAGAAAGAAGUUCUGACGGUACUUGAGGAAUAAGCAUCGGCUAACUCCGUGCCAGCAGCCGCGGUAAUACGGGGGAUGCAAGCGUUAUCCGGAAUGAUUGGGCGUAAAGCGCCUGUAGGUUGUUUAUUAAGUCCGUUGUUAAAGCCUAGGGCUUAACCCUAGAAAAGCAAUGGAAACUAGUAGACUAGAGUAUGGCAGGGGUAGAGGGAAUUUCUAGUGUAGCGGUGAAAUGCGUAGAUAUUAGAAAGAACACCGGUGGCGAAAGCGCUCUACUGGACCAUUACUGACACUCAGAGGCGAAAGCUAGGGUAGCAAAAGGGAUUAGAUACCCCUGUAGUCCUAGCCGUAAACGAUGGAUACUAGAUGUUGUGCAUUAUGUACAGUAUCGUAGCUAACGCGUUAAGUAUCCCGCCUGGGGGUACGCUCGCAAGGUGAACUCAAGGAUG
rnacentral:rRNA from 1 species